UACGGGGGGGGCAAGCGUUGUUCGGAAUUACUGGGCGUAAAGGGCUCGUAGGCGGCCAACUAAGUCCGACGUGAAAUCCCCAGGCUUAACCUGGGAACUGCGUCGGAUACUGGAUGGCUUGAAUUCGGGAGAGGGAUGCAGAAUUCCAGGUGUAGCGGUGAAAUGCGCAGAUAUCAGGAGGAACACCGAUUGCGAAGGCAGCUCGCUGGGACGUAACUGACGCUGAGACGCGAAAGCGUGGGGAGCAAACAGG
rnacentral:rRNA from 1 species